rfam:Salmo salar isolate Sally breed double haploid chromosome ssa03, whole genome shotgun sequence.
CACAUGCAUGACUGUAAAUCGCUUUGGAUAAAAGCGUCUGCUUAAUAGCACAUU